UACGUAGGGGCCGAGCGUUGUCCGGAGUUAUUGGGCGUAAAGCGCGCGCAGGCGGCCUCGCGCGCCCGACGUGAAAGCCCCCGGCUUAACCGGGGAGGGUCGUUGGGGACGGCGGGGCUUGAGGGCGGGAGAGGGUGGUGGAAUUCCCGGUGUAGUGGUGAAAUGCGUAGAGGUCGGGAGGAACACCCGUGGCGAAGGCGGCGGCCUGGGCCGACCCUGACGCUGAGGCGCGAAGGCGUGGGGAGCGAACGGG
rnacentral:rRNA from 1 species